AGGUCUUGACAUCCUUUGACCACUGUAGAGAUACAGCUUUCCCUUCGGGGACAAAGUGACAGGUGGUGCAUGGUUGUCGUCAGCUCGUGUCGUGAGAUGUUGGGUUAAGUCCCGCAACGAGCGCAACCCUUAUGACUAGUUGCCAGCAUUUAGUUGGGCACUCUAGUAAGACUGCCGGUGACAAACCGGAGGAAGGUGGGGAUGACGUCAAAUCAGCAUGCCCCUUAUGACCUGGGCUACACACGUGCUACAAUGGUCGGUACAACGAGUUGCGAACCCGCGAGGGUAAGCUAAUCUCUUAAAGCCGAUCUCAGUUCGGAUUGUAGGCUGCAACUCGCCUACAUGAAGCCGGAAUCGCUAGUAAUCGCGGAUCAGCACGCCGCGGUGAAUACGUUCCCGGGCCUU
rnacentral:rRNA from 1 species